rnacentral:tRNA from 1 species
AAGAGAGUCAUAAAGGCUAUGAGGCUGGCUUGAAACUAGUCUUUGGAGGUUCGAUUCCUUCCUUUCUUG